rnacentral:rRNA from 1 species
GAUGAACGCUGGCGGCGUGCCUAAUACAUGCAAGUCGAGCGAACAGACGAGGAGCUUGCUCCUCUGACGUUAGCGGCGGACGGGUGAGUAACACGUGGAUAACCUACCUAUAAGACUGGGAUAACUUCGGGAAACCGGAGCUAAUACCGGAUAAUAUAUUGAACCGCAUGGUUCAAUAGUGAAAGACGGUUUUGCUGUCACUUAUAGAUGGAUCCGCGCCGCAUUAGCUAGUUGGUAAGGUAACGGCUUACCAAGGCAACGAUGCGUAGCCGACCUGAGAGGGGGAUGGGCCACACGGGAACUGAGACACGUCCCAGACCCCAAGGGGAGGCAGCAUUGGGGAAUCUUCCGCAAGGGGCGAAAGCCGACGGAGCAACGCCGCGUGAGUGAUGAAGGUCUUCGGAUCGUAAAACUCUGUUAUUAGGGAAGAACAAAUGUGUAAGUAACUAUGCACGUCUUGACGGUACCUAAUCAGAAAGCCACGGCUAACUACGUG